rnacentral:lncRNA from 1 species
CAAAAAUAACAAUGAGGAAAAAAGGUUCUUCUAUGUGCACAUUUUAAAAAUAUGUAUAUUUUAAUUAUUUUAUUGUUUUCUUCCCCCAGACUGUGUCACUAUGCAUCUGUAGAGAGCAACUGUGCUCCCAGAGAAACAUUCGUAUAAGGAACUGAACUGCAGCCUGAUACCAGAGCAAGAAGACUUUCUAUCCACAGUCUGCAAAGCAAGGAUGUCCUAGAAGAGAGAACAGUAGGAAGCAGUGAUGAAAUAUAGGAUGGACCUGAUAUAGUGAAUUACCUUUUCAUCAUCACGCAAUCCAGCUUAAGCUGUACCUUCAGACUUGACAGCCCUCAUCAUUCAUAAUUUGAGUCAUUGGUGGACUGUCACUACCUUCCCUCCAUGGACUCCAGAGUCACCCACCAACUAGUGGAUGCAGCACCCCAUCGCCUGCAAGCAUUGUCAGAGAGCUUUCGGUUCAUCAAAGGACUUUUUGUGGAGAGGGGACACCACAUCCAUUAAAGUGGCUGCGCAGGUCCCAGGGUGAGUCUCUCUCCAGCAUUUCUUUACGGUCGCCAGUGGUGUGCCAUGCCUGCUCAGUGUGCCCCUCUCUGCCCGACUCCUAUCUUGGGCUUUGCAAGAAAUAGGCAAUAAUCAAGCGUUCGUUUUCCAGUUUCUGCUCUUGAGCUUGCUUUGGAGCGGGGAAGCAAGGCUCCUGUGUGCCUUGCUCCUGGAUGAUGCUCACUGCUGGGGCUGAGGUGGCUUGGCUUAUUCAUUUAAAAUUAAAGCAUGCAUGUGGCUAUUGAGCUCAUGUCCUUCCCACUGGGGCGGAGGGAGAGUCAAUUUUUAAAUUAUCCAUAGGAAUAAGAACUGGUGGAAGCCUCCAUGGAGUCUUUCUUGGUGGGCAAGAUUUUGGAGAACGUAGUUACCUACCUAAAAAGCAUCGAGCUCCCUGCUGGCUUCACGCGCACAGGGCUGGCAGUGGCUUCGUGGCCACAGCCUC